rnacentral:misc_RNA from 1 species
UUUCCGUAGGUGAACCUGCGGAAGGAUCAUUACAGAGUUCAUGCCCUACCGGGUAGAUCUCCCACCCUAUGUUAUUAUUACUUUGUUGCUUUGGCGGGCCGUUAGGCUCCGGCCCGACUACCGGCCCCGGCUGGUAAGCGCCCGCCAGAGGACCCAAAACCCUGAGUAUUAGUGUCGUCUGAGUACUAUAUAAUAGUUAAAACUUUCAACAACGGAUCUCUUGGUUCUG